AUGAACGUUAGUGGUAUACCUAAUAUAUGCAAGUCGAACGGAGUAUUUCUUUAUUGAGAUACUUAGUGGCGAAUUGGUGAGUAAUGUAUAUCUAACUUACCUAUCAGAAGGGGAUAAUUAUUGGAAACGAUAACUAAUACCGUAUAUAAUCUUUUUAGGUAUUCUAAUAAGAUGAAAGGGGCGUUUUUUCGCUCCGCUGAUAGAAAGGGAUGUAUCAUAUUAGUUUGUUGGUAAGGUAAUGGCUUACCAAGACUAUGAUGUAGUAGCUGGUCUGAGAGGACGAACAGCCACACCGGGAUUGAGAUACAGCCCGGACACCUAAGGGUGGCAGCAGUAGGGAAUCUUCCGCAAUGAGCGCAAGCUUGACGGAGUGAUACCACGUGACCGAUGAAGGUCUUUUGAUUGUAAAGGUCUGUUGAUAAGAAAAGAAGGUUGCAAGAGGAAAUGCUUGCAAUUUGACAUUAUCUUAAGAGAAAGUAGCGACUAACUAUGUGCCAGCAGUCGCGGUAAUACAUAGGCUGCAAGCGUUAUUCGGAUUGAUUGGGCGUAAAGGAUGCGUAGGCGGUUUUAUAAGUCUGUAGUUAAAUAUCAAGGCUCAACCUUGAUUCGCUGCAGAAACUGUAAGACUCUGAGUAUAGAAGAGGUUAGUAGAAUUUUGCAUGUAGCGGUGAAAUGCUCAGAUAUGCAAAGGAAUACCAGUGGCGAAGGCGACUAACUGGUCUAUCACUGACGCUGAGGCAUUAAAGCGUGGGGAGCAAAUAGGAUUAGAUACCCUAGUAGUCCACGCCCUAAACGAUGAUUACUAAGCAUUAGUUUUUCUAUUAGUGCUGCAGUUAACACUUUAAGUAGUCCGCCUGGGUAGUACGUUCGCAAGAAUGAAACUCAAAGGAAUUGACGGGGACCCGCACAAGCGGUGGAGCAUGUAGUUUAAUUCGAAGCAACGCGAAGAACCUUACCAAGGGCUUGUAUCCAGUGCAAUGUUGUAGAAAUACAACGGAGGUUAACACUGUGACAGGUGGUGCGUGGUCGUCGUCAGUUCGUGUCGUGAGAUGUUUGGUUAAGUCCUAUAACGAACGCAACCCCUAUCUUUAGUUACUACCAUUAAGUUGAGGACUCUAGAGAGACUGCCAAUGUAAAUUGGAGGAAGGUGGGGACUACGACUGAUCCUCAUGCCCCUUAUGCCCUGGGCUACAUACGUGCUACAAUGGUUGGCACAAAGAGUCGCGAAGUAGUGAUACUCAGCAAAUCUCAAAAAACCAAUCUAAGUUCGGAUUGAAGUCUGAAACUCGACUUCAUGAAGUCGGAAUCGCUAGUAAUCGCAAAUCAGCAAUGUUGCGGUGAAUAUGUUCUCGGGUCUUGUACACACCGCCCGUCAAAGCACGAGAGUUGGCAGUACCAGAAGCUGGUUUUCCUAACCGCAAGGAAGGAGCCAUCGAAGGUAAGGCUGAUAGUUGGGCUU
rnacentral:rRNA from 1 species